rnacentral:rRNA from 1 species
GUAGGUGGCAAGCGUUGUCCGGAAUUAUUGGGCGUAAAGCGCGCGCAGGCGGUUCUUUAAGUUUGAUGUGAAAGCCCACGGGCUCAACCGUGGAGGGUCAUUGGAAACUGGAGAACUUGAGUACAGAAGAGGAAAGCGGAAUUCCACGUGUAGCGGUGAAAUGCGUAGAGAUGUGGAGGAACACCAGUGGCGAAGGCGGCUUUCUGGUCUGUAACUGACGCUGAGGCGCGAAAGCGUGGGGAGCAAACAGGAUUAGAUACCCUGGUAGUCCACGCCGUAAACGAUGAGUGCUAAGUGUUAGGGGGUUUCCGCCCCUUAGUGCUGCAGCUAACGCAUUAAGCACUCCGCCUGGGGAGUACGGCCGCAAAGGCUG